CGUGUAGGCGGAUCGGUCAGUGUCUUGUGAAAGCCCUCGGCUCAACCGAGGAAUUGCUGGGCAUACUGCCGGUCUUGAGGCAGGUAGGGGCGGGUGGAACUCUAGGUGGAGCGGUGAAAUGCGUAGAUAUCUAGAGGAACGCCGGUGGCGAAAGCGACCCGCUGGGCCUGAUCUGACGCUGAGACGCGAAAGCGUAGGGAGCAAACG
rnacentral:rRNA from 1 species